GUUGAACGCUGGCGGCAGGCCUAACACAUGCAAGUCGAGCGGAUGAAGGGGGCUUGCUCCUGGAUUCAGCGGCGGACGGGUGAGUAAUGCCUAGGAAUCUCCCUGGUCGUGGGGGAUAACGUCCGGAAACGGGCGCUAAUACCGCAUACGUCCUGAGGGAGAAAGUGGGGGAUCUUCGGACCUCACGCUAUCGGAUGAGCCUAGGUCGGAUUGGCUAGUUGGUGGGGUAAAGGCCUAGCCAGGGGAGUAUCGGUAACUGGACCGGGAGGGGGGUCGGCCACACGGGAACGGAGACUCGGUCCAUGGUCCUACGGGAGGCAGCAGUGUGCAAUAUUGGACAAUGGGCGAAAGCCUUAUCCAACCAUGCCGCGUGUGUCAAGAAGGUCUUCGGAUUGUAAAGCACGUUAAGUGGGGAGGAAGGUCAGUAAGCUAAGACCUUGCUGUUGUGACGGUACCAACAGAAUAAGCACCGGCUAACUUCGUG
rnacentral:rRNA from 1 species